GUGCCAGCAGCCGCGGUAAGACAGAGGGGGCAAGCGUUGUCCGGAAUCACUGGGCGUAAAGCGCACGCAGGCGGCCCGGCAAGUGGGGUGUGACAGCGAACGGCUUAACCGUCCGAGGCCAUCUCAGACUGCCGAGCUUGAGCUAUGCAGAGGUUCGUGGAAUUGCUGGUGUAGGAGUGACAUCCGUAGAGACCAGCAGGAACACCAAUGGGGAAGCCAGCGAACUGGGCAUAUGCUGACGCUCAGGUGCGAUAGCGUGGGGAGCAAACCGGAUUAGAAACCCCAGUAGUCC
rnacentral:rRNA from 1 species